GGCUAUCGAGGUGAGAACGGCCUCCUCACACGCCACGCAAGUGGCAUAGUAGGCGAAAGCCGAAGAGAUGCGGGAAUUUGGCGCCCCGCCGUUAGCU
rnacentral:ncRNA from 1 species